GUAUCAUGGCUCAGGAUGAACGCUAGCGACAGGCUUAACACAUGCAAGUCGAGGGGCAGCAUGGACCCAGCUUUGCUGGGUUUGAUGGCGACCGGCGCACGGGUGAGUAACGCGUAUCCAACCUGCCCUUUACUCCGGGAUAGUCUCCUGAAAGGGAGUUUAAUACCGGAUGUGUUUGUCUUUCCGCAUGGGAGCGACAAAUAAAGAUUAAUUGGUAAAGGAUGGGGAUGCGUCCCAUUAGCUUGUUGGG
rnacentral:rRNA from 1 species